rnacentral:rRNA from 1 species
CACGUAGGGAGCGAGCGUUGUCCGGAUUCAUUGGGCGUAAAGCGCGUGUAGGCGGUUCGGUAAGUCCGCUGUGAAAGUCCGGGGCUCAACCCCGGGAUGCCAGGGGAUACUGCGAGGCUGGAGACAAGCAGAGGUUGGUAGAAUUCCGGGUGUAGCGGUGGAAUGCGUAGAGAUCCGGAGGAAUACCAGAGGCGAAGGCGGCCAACUGGGCUUGUUCUGACGCUGAGGUGCGAAAGCGUGGGGAGCGAACAGG